ACGAGCCACUGAAACUCAGCCCCUGGCCCAGA
rnacentral:scRNA from 1 species